CUAAGAAAGUGGUUGCCUACCUGGUGUUUGAUCAGUAGGGUGUUCAAUUAACACACGACUCCAGUUGUGACUUAAACUGCAUUUCCCUAAGACUAGCAUGAAGGAAUGGAGGAAUAAAGUAAACGAUUACAACCCAUAUUUUGUACUUGGGGAUAUUUGGGAGUCUUUAAAGGAAUGGAGUGCAUAUGGAGCUGGAGUUC